AUGCACGCUGGCGGCGUGCCUAAUACCUGCAAGUCGAGCGAACAGACGAGGAGCUUGCUCCUCUGAUGUUAGCGGCGGACGGGUGAGUAACACGUGGAUAACCUACCUAUAAGACUGGGAUAACUUCGGGAAACCGGAGCUAAUACCGGAUAACAUGUUGAACCGCAUGGUUCAACAGUGAAAGACGGUCUUGCUGUCACUUAUAGAUGGAUCCGCGCCGCAUUAGCUAGUUGGUAAGGUAACGGCUUACCAAGGCAACGAUGCGUAGCCGACCUGAGAGGGUGAUCGGCCACACUGGAACUGAGACACGGUCCAGACUCCUACGGGAGGCAGCAGUAGGGAAUCUUCCGCAAUGGGCGAAAGCCUGACGGAGCAACGCCGCGUGAGUGAAGAAGGUCUUCGGAUCGUAAAACUCUGUUAUUAGGGAAGAACAAAUGUGUAAGUAACUAUGCACGUCUUGACGGUACCUAAUCAGAAAGCCACGGCUAACUACGUG
rnacentral:rRNA from 1 species